rnacentral:rRNA from 1 species
GAUGAACGCUAGCGGCAGGCCUAACACAUGCAAGUCGAGGGGUAGAGUUAGCUUGCUAACUUGAGACCGGCGCACGGGUGCGUAACGCGUAUGCAAUCUACCUUAUACAGAGGGAUAGCCCAGAGAAAUUUGGAUUAAUACCUCAUAGUAUUAUUGAAUGGCAUCAUUUGAUAAUUAAAGUUCCAACGGUAUAAGAUGAGCAUGCGUCCCAUUAGUUAGUUGGUAAGGUAACGGCUUACCAAGACAAUGAUGGGUAGGGGUCCUGAGAGGGAGAUCCCCCACACUGGUACUGAGACACGGACCAGACUCCUACGGGAGGCAGCAGUGAGGAAUAUUGGUCAAUGGGCGCAAGCCUGAACCAGCCAUGCCGCGUGUAGGAUGACGGUCCUAUGGAUUGUAAACUGCUUUUAUACGGGAAGAAACACUCCUACGUGUAGGAACUUGACGGUACCGUAAGAAUAAGGAUCGGCUAACUCCGUGCCAGCAGCCGCCGUAACAC